AGAUUGAACGCUGGCGGCAGGCCUAACACAUGCAAGUCGAGCGGUAGAGAGGUGCUUGCAUCUCUUGAGAGCGGCGGACGGGUGAGUAAUGCCUAGGAAUCUGCCUAGUGGUGGGGGAUAACGUUCGGAAACGGACGCUAAUACCGCGUACGUCCUACGGGAGAAAGCGGGGGACCUUCGGGCCUCGCGCCAUUAGAUGAGCCUAGGUCGGAUUAGCUAGUUGGUGAGGUAAUGGCUCACCAAGGCGACGAUCCGUAACUGGUCUGAGAGGAUGAUCAGUCACACUGGAACUGAGACACGGUCCAGACUCUACGGGAGCAGCAGUGGGAAUAGUUGGACAAGUGGGACGAAAGCCUGACUCCAGCCAU
rnacentral:rRNA from 1 species